GACGAACGCUGGCGGCGUGCUUAAUACAUGCAAGUCGAACGGAAAGGCCCUGCUUUUGUGGGGUGCUCGAGUGGCGAACGGGUGAGUAACACGUGAGUAACCUGCCCUUGACUUUGGGAUAACUUCAGGAAACUGGGGCUAAUACCGGAUAGGAGCUCCUGCUGCAUGGUGGGGGUUGGAAAGUUUCGGCGGUUGGGGAUGGACUCGCGGCUUAUCAGCUUGUUGGUGGGGUAGUGGCUUACCAAGGCUUUGACGGGUAGCCGGCCUGAGAGGGUGACCGGCCACAUUGGGACUGAGAUACGGCCCAGACUCCUACGGGAGGCAGCAGUGGGGAAUAUUGCACAAUGGGCGGAAGCCUGAUGCAGCAACGCCGCGUUCGGGAUGACGGCCUUCAGGUUGUAAACCGCUUUCGCCUGUGACGAAGCGUGAGUGACGGUAAUGGGUAAAGAAGCACCGGCUAACUACGUG
rnacentral:rRNA from 1 species